rnacentral:lncRNA from 15 species
CAAGACUAUACAUGCUCGCAUCUAGUUUGCUAUUUCAAACGGGAAUGUGUACGUACGUGUGUGUACAGGUACAUUCAGCACUCAAGGCAAUGCGUAGGACUACAAUGCAUUGCAUUGCACGAUGUGUAUGUAAUGUAUUUGAAUUCAGAGUGAAAAAGCCGUUGCAAGAAGUAUCCUCCUCCUGAAUACUCUCGUUUUCUCCUGCAAAUUUACAGUAUGGGCAUCUUUUUUUAACAUCUUUCGUCAAAGAAGUGGAUUCAAAGCACAUUGUGGCCUCAGUAUAUUGAUGUGAAACCAUGCAGAAAAUGCUACUUUCUCUCAACCUUGUGGAUGUUCCCUACUUCCCUAAGGAUCAGCAGCCUCUUGAAACAGAAUUCCUUGCGUCUAUGUUCCUUGGAUCUGAAAACAGUGCAUAAUGCAGGAGAUUCCACCCAAAAGCUAACCCACAAGUCCAAGCUGAAGUGGAAUAUUUCGCAAAAUUUGAUCUACACUCACCCGAUAGCUUUACUGCUAGAGAAAGGUGGUCAUAUAGAUGUCAUUUAGAGGACA